rnacentral:rRNA from 1 species
GUAUUCAGGGCCUCAAAUCAGACAAGAGUACCCGCCGAACUUAAGCAUAUCAAUAAGCGGAGGAAAAGAAACUAACAAGGAUUCCCCUAGUAACGGCGAGUGAAGCGGGAACAGCUCAAAUUUUAAAUCUGGCCUGCUGUUGCGGCCCGAGUUGUAGUUUGAAGGAGUCUGUCGCCGGUGUGACUAUGGCACAAGUCCUCUGGAACGGGGCAUCGUAGAGGGUGAGAAUCCCAUCUCUGGUCGUGGUCGCUAGGCAUCCGGCAGGCAUCCGAAGAGUCGAGUUGUUUGGGAUUGCAGCUCCAAAAGGGUGGUAAACUCCAUCUAAGGCUAAAUAUUGGCGAGAGACCGAUAGCGAACAAGUACCGUGAGGGAAAGAUGAAAAGAACUUUGAAAAGAGAGUAAAACAGUACGUGAAAUUGUUGAAAGGGAAACGCUUGAAGUCAGUCGUGCCGGCGUCGGGUUCAGCUCACUUUUUGGAGUGGGCGUAUUUCCGCGCAUGGCAGGUCAGCGUCAGUUUUGCGCGGCGUGAAAGGGCUCGGGUAAGGUAGCUCACUUCGGAGAGUGUUAUAGACCUGGGCAGAUGCGCUGGGCGAGACUGAGGAUUGCAGCGGACACCCCUCGGGGCGCGGCGACCGAUCCCUGCUCCAGCCACCCGCGUUCGAUAGCAUGCUAACGGGCGUCGGGAGCGGCGGUGCACAGGACAGGCAAGCCGGCGGUUCGCUAAGGACGCUGACGUAAUGGCUUUAAACGACCCGUCUUGAAACACGGACCAAGGAGUCUAACAUGUGUGCGAGUGUU